rnacentral:rRNA from 1 species
GCUAAACGCGAAGAACCUUACCUACACUUGACAUACCUCUUGGGACUUUCAGAGAUGAUUGUCUUCGGUUCGGCCGGGGAGGGAGUACAGGUGGCUGCAUGGCGUGUCGUCAGCUCGUGUCGUGAGAUGUUGGGUUAAGGUACCGCAACGAGUGCAACCCUUACUCGUAUGUUGUCCACGCAUUUAGUUUGGGUACGUCAUGCGAGACUGCCGGUGGUUAAGACCGGAGGAAGGUGGGGAGUGACGUCAAGUCAUCAUGGCCCUUACGUGUAGGGCUACAAACGUACUACAAUGGCGGUGACAGUGGGCAGCUACCUCGCGAGGGGAAGCUAAUCCCAAAAAGCCCGUCUCAGUUCAGAUUGUUCUCUGCAACUCGAGAGCAUGAAGU